GCAUCCUCUGGAACACCUGUCCUGGCCAAAUGACAGCACGUGCAUUGCGCGAGCCCAACAGCUCCGUCAGCCUGGCGCUUUUGAGUUUGAGGCAGAUGGAUGCAGCAGGAAGCCCUCAGUGUUAACGCACCCAACCUGCUCUGUUCCGGCUGGAUGAACGUCAGUGGCAGUGGCAGCAGGUCUGGUGAAGCAGAGCCAGAUUCCAGGAUCAGUUUGUGCUUUCAAGGACCGAGACUUGAAGAACUUGGUCUCGAAGAUGCCCCGGGUCUUCAGCGCCUCUGAGAUUUGUCCCCGGAAGAGGAAGCCCCGCUUGGUCAGAUCGAGCAGAAUCUGCCUGACGAUUUCUCCAAGGUACAUGCCACUGCACAUCUUCUCAUAUCUGACACACAAAGCAAAGAGACACAUGUUAGAAAGCCUUAAGAGGAGGAAACACAACCAUACGUUCUGUAUUUAAUAUCUAUGGUUUGAUAGUGGCGCUGUUUUCACCUCUGUUUCCCUUCGUUGAGCGAGUUCUCGUCCACCGACUGGUCGUACGUGGUCCUGAUGUCGUCCAGGCAGCCAUUGUCUCCGAAAGCCCCCCACUCCAUGUUCACACACAUACGGCCUUCGCUUCCCUCCACGAUCUCGAUGUUCUUCGUCUCCUCCAUGUAGCAGGCGUUACUGCCGGUCCCUGAGAGGACGACACAGGCAGAGAAUAUUAAGAUAAGAGCGGUACUUUAUUUAUCCCAAACUGGGACAUUUUUUGACAAGGCAUUGCACAUAAUUAAAGUGUGAAGUUUAAAAAACCCAGGAUGAUCUUUAAUGUACACAUAUCUGACAUUUCAUAUGUAUCAGUAUCUUCUGUUGGUGUGGUUAGUAUAACUAAGCCGGAUUCUACAAGACCAUCUACUUAUUUACAAAGUCACCUUAAGCUUUUCAUAAAACACAUCUAGGGCUGUAUGAAUACUUUGAAGCUUUAUCCAUAACAUUAGGAUUCAAAAUAUAAAACCACCUUUUAAAUUCUGCACAUUGUUCCGAUUUCUUUAUUAAUUUAGUUUAAUAAAUUUAAAUUAAUUCAAACACAAACGGACAAAGUAAACAAAAAGAAUAAAUACGUUUAUUCAAAGGCAAAAAAAGUGGUAAAGAUCCUGGUUUUAAAUGGUUGUGGUUCAGUUACUAACCUGCGAUCAGUCCCACCUCACAGUUGGGCUCCUCGUACGCGCAGGUCAUCAUCGUCCCCACCGUGUCGUUCACUAUCGCCACCACAUCCAGCUCAAACUCCUGAGAAACACACAGGAAAAUUGGUCCUGAAUCGUGUUUUAUUUGCUUUAUAUCUUCACGGUCACCUGUAUAUUUUCUACUCUCUGUUUUGAAAUGUUUCUAAUUUUAGAAUUUAUUAUUCCUACUCUUUUAAUUUAUAUA